AAAUCUCUACAGGCAAAUGUGAUGUCUUUAUAGUAAUCUCACAAUUACCUAUAGAGAUUCUU
rnacentral:pre_miRNA from 1 species